rnacentral:rRNA from 1 species
UACGUAGGUGGCAAGCGUUAUCCGGAAUUAUUGGGCGUAAAGAGCGCGCAGGUGGUUAAUUAAGUCUGAUGUGAAAGCCCACGGCUUAACCGUGGAGGGUCAUUGGAAACUGGUUGACUUGAGUGCAGAAGAGGGAAGUGGAAUUCCAUGUGUAGCGGUGAAAUGCGUAGAGAUAUGGAGGAACACCAGUGGCGAAGGCGGCUUCCUGGUCUGCAACUGACACUGAGGCGCGAAAGCGUGGGGAGCAAACAGG